rnacentral:rRNA from 1 species
GAGUUUGAUCUUGGCUCAGAUUGAACGCUAGCGGGAUGCUUUACACAUGCAAGUCGAACGGCAGCACGAGAGAGCUUGCUCUCUUGGUGGCGAGUGGCGGACGGGUGAGUAAUAUAUCGGAACGUGCCCAGUAGCGGGGGAUAACUACUCGAAAGAGUGGCUAAUACCGCAUACGCCCUACGGGGGAAAGGGGGGAUCGCAAGACCUCUCACUAUUGGAGCGGCCGAUAUCGGAUUAGCUAGUUGGUGGGUAAAGGCUCACCAAGGCAACGAUCCGUAGCUGGUUUGAGAGGACGACCAGCCACACUGGGACUGA